rnacentral:rRNA from 1 species
AACGAACGCUGGCGGCAUGCCUAACACAUGCAAGUCGAACGAGACCUUCGGGUCUAGUGGCGCACGGGUGCGUAACGCGUGGGAACCUGCCCUUAGGUUCGGAAUAACUCCCCGAAAGGGGUGCUAAUACCGGAUAAUGUCUUCGGACCAAAGAUUUAUCGCCUUUGGAUGGGCCCGCGUUGGAUUAGCUAGUUGGUAGGGUAAAAGCCUACCAAGGCGACGAUCCAUAGCUGGUCUGAGAGGAUGAUCAGCCCCACUGGGACUGAGACACGGCCCAGACUCCUACGGGAGGCAGCAGUGGGGAAUAUUGGACAAUGGGCGAAAGCCUGAUUCAGCAAUGCCGCGUGAGUGAUGAAGGCCUUAGGGUUGUAAAGCUCUUUUACCCGGGAUGAUAAUGACAGUACCGGGAGAAUAAGCUCCGGCUAACUCCGUG